rnacentral:lncRNA from 12 species
GCAAUCUCUGCGUUGGUGGAAGCACAGCCCUGGGUUGUUUCCGUGCAUUUGAGCCCACCUGGCACAAACUGAAGGAAAAAGGUAGAGGAGUCUGGUUCAUCAGCUGCUCUCAGCCAAGCACUGCUGACUGAACACUGUGCGUGCUUGUGCAGGUGGGUACAACUCUGACCACUUAAAUACGGCUCUAAAGGUUUUCUUACACU